AGCUUAUUGAUACCGUUAUAAUAAGUAUUUUCUGCCCAGUGAAAUYUUAAACGSCCGCGGUACCCUGACCGUGCAAAGGUAGCAUAAUCAUUUGCCUUUUAAUUGGAGGCUAGUAUGAACGAAUAAACACUAAUCUUCCUUUCCCAUACAUAGAAAUAAAAAUUAUUCUUCAGGUGAAGAAACCUGAAUAUCAUAAAAAGACAAGAAGACCCUAUCAAGCUUUAUAUUUUCUUAAAUCACAUUUAUAAAAUAUUUGGUUGGGGCGACUAAUGGGGUUUAUAUUCCCCCAUAAAUAAAAUGAUCCAUAAAUCUUGACAUCUUAAUCAUAUAAAACAACAAAGCUACUGUAGGGAUAACAGGCUAAUAUUUUCUAAGAGUUCAAAUUAAAGAAAAUGAUUGGCACCUCGAUGUUGGCUUAGGGCCCCCUCCCCCUGCAGAAGGGGGGAAUGGUAGUUUGUUCAACUAUUAAACCCCU
rnacentral:rRNA from 1 species